rnacentral:lncRNA from 1 species
GGGGGGGGAGGGGAAGAGACACAAUAAACACAAAGGUCAAAAGGGUGCAAUUGAUUCUAAGAAGAGUUCAACCAUUUGUGCCUACUGUAAGAAGCCAGGACACAUAUAGACAAGUGUUACAGGAUCCAUGGUUUUCCAACAGACUUUAAGUCCACAAGACAGAAGAAGUUCCAAUGACCAAUACAAACAAAUAAUACUCUUAAUGCAGUUGAUGAAAAUGAGCAGGCAAUCAGUGUUUUAGAGACAAAAUCACUCACCCAAGAGAAUGUAGCUCAACUACUUCAGCUUCUUCAGCAAGUUAAGUUUGGACAACAAGUGACAGGGACUUCAUCUGAUGCUUUUGCAAAUGCUAAUUGUGCUGGUAUACCUUCCUUCUUUAAUUCUCCUGCUUGUUUCAUUGAAAUCAGUAGUCAGUCUUGGAUAUUAGAUAGUGAAGCCUCAGAAUAUAUGUCCUACAACAGAAAAUUUUUCUGUGUCCUUAAACCUUUAAUCAAGCCUAGAAUUGUUAACUUACCAAAUUCUCAAAAAGUUCUGUAACUCAUUAUGGUUCAGUCACUCUGUUUUCUAAUCUAAUACUACAAAAUAUCAUGUAUAUCCCUUCUAUUAAAUAUAAUCUUUUAUCUGUUCACAAGUUGUGUAACAGUUAAAACACCCAUUUUUUUGUACUUCAUCUUCAUAUUUUCUGCAGGGCCCUUCACUGAAGAGCCCUUUGGAGAUUGGUUAUAAGGAGAAGAUAGGACUCUACAUCCUUCAAUCAAGGCCAACAACGGCCAUUCCUAUAAUUUCAUCCAAGUCUAGCAAUAGUAUUCUUUCUAGCAAGAAGCUUAAUCUAGGACAAUAUGUACCUAUUUUACAUUCCUGUUUUAGUUCUCUUUCCAAUGUUAAUGAUAAGCUAUGACACUAUAGAUUAGGCCAUAUGCCUUUCAGUAAUAUGAGAAACAUUUCUACUAUUCUUGUUUCUGUUUCAUCCAAUUCUUCUUCUCCUUGUGUUAUUUGUCCUAUGGCAAGGCAAUCUAGACUUUCAUUUCCCACAAUCAGCAUAACCAUAAAGAAUAUUUUUCAAUUAAUUUAUAUUGAUACAUGGGUCCCUUAUAAUAAACCUACUUAUGAUGGCUUUUAAGUAUUUUCUAGCUAUUAUGGAUGACUAUAGUAGAGGUACAUGGACCUACUUACUCAUCAACAAAUCAAAUACUUUUUCAAUCUUAAAAUCAUUCUUGGCUAUGGUAGAAAGACAGUUUCAUACAAAAGUUAAGACCAUUAGAUCAGAUAAUGCUUUUGAGUUAGGGAGUGGGACUGCCCAGUUAGAAUAUUUUCUUUCCCAAGGGAUUAUACAUCAGACUACAUGUACUGCUUUCUCACAACAAAAAUGGAGUUGUGGAGAGAAAAAACAAGCAUUUGUUGGAAACCUCUAGAGCCCUACUUUUUCAGUCUAAUUUUACCUAUUUCUUACUGGGGUGAUUGUCUUUUAACAACAACAUAUCUCAUUAAUAGGUUUCUCUCAAGGGUUCUUCAUUUUAAAAUACCUUAUGAGGUUCUUUUUCAUUCUAAACCUGAUUACAUAAAGUUAAAAUAUUUUGGAUGUCUAUAUUUGUCUCUACCCUUUCCAUACAUAGAACAAAGUUUCAACCCAGGGCAAUCCCAUGUGUAUUUCUGGGUUAUCCACAUGGUAAAAGAGAUUACAAAAUCCUAGAUCUCAAGACUUUGAAGACUUUUAUAUCCAGCGAUGUUGUUUUUCAUGAGGAAGUUUUUCCUUUCUCUUCUAAACUACCUCAGCAUUCUCCUGAUUCUUUUCUGCCUCUGUCAUCCAUACCUAAUUCCACCACUACUAUGUUUGACUCAAUCUUAGAAGUACAACCCACACCAUCUACUAAUGAUAGUGCACACCCCAUCUCUCCUACAUCCAACUCUGACCCUAUCUCUUCUUCUACCACCCCUUUUUCUCCUAUUCCUACUCUCUCACUCACAUCUUCCCAUAUUCAGCAUUCUUCUGUUCCAACUGCCUCACCUUCUUUUGUUCCUAUUACCUCACCUUCUACAUCUGAACCUAUGAUAGACAAUUUGAUCAUAAAAUCAUCUAGACCUCAUAAUCCUCCAGUUUAUCUCAAAGAUUGCAUAUGCAAUGCUAUUCAACUUAUAGAUGUGAGCACUACUUGUUUCCUUUCCCCUGUUACACCACCUAAUUUUUCUUUCUCUGGUCUUUCUAUUUCUAAUCAGAAUUUACCAAAUCCCCUGUCUAGUAUUCAAGAGCCUACAGCUACAGUGAAGAAGAUAUCACCCAGGUUGGCAGGAAGCCAUGGCAAAGGAAAUUGAAGCUCUUGAACAAAAUCAAACCUGGGAAGUAGUGGAACUACCCCUGGUAGAAAAGCACUACCUUGCAAGUGGGUAUAUAAGGUUAAACACCAUUCUGAUGGUAGCGUGGAAAGACUAAAGGCUCGGCUAGUAGUAAGAGGAGAUAUUCAAAGGGAAGGAGUGAAUUUUACUGAAACCUUUUUCCCAGUGGUGAAAAUGACUACAAUUAGAUGUAUUCUUGCUAUAUCUGUGAAAAGGGGAUGCAUGAUCUACCAAUUAGAUAUUAAUAACGCAUUUUUACAUGGUGAUGUUAAUGAAGUGGUUUAUAUGAAGUUCCCUGCUGUUUUUUCACAUUCUUCUCCUACUUAAAUUUAUCGUUUAAAGAAGUCACUUUACGGGUUACGCCAAGCUUCCCGUCAAUGGUAUGCUAAGUUAACAUCAACUCUAAAUUUUAAGAGUUAUUCACAUUCCUUAAAUGACUACUCCCUAUUUUUUAAGAAGAUGGAUUCCUCAAUAUCCAUAGUUGCAGUCUACGUGGACGAUAUUCUACUAACAGGUAAUAAUACUGAAGAACUACAUGCUUUAAAGUUAUUUUUAAACCAAGAGUUCAAAAUCAAGGAUUUAGGGACCUUACAUUAUUUUUUAGGCAUGGAAGUACUCCGAAAAUCUGAAGGUCUGAUUUUGUCCCAGCGUAAAUUUGUAUUGGAUCUCCUCACUGAAUUUGAUGUAUUGAACAAAAUCCCUAUUUCCUGCCCACCUGAUCCAACUAUCAGACUCUUGGCCAAAACUGGUGAUCCUAUUCAAGAUCCAACCUUGUAUCACCAUUUAUUGGGUAAGCUAAAUUACUUAACCCAUACAAGGCCAGAUCUCUCCUUUAUAGUGCAGAACCUCAGCAAUAUAUGCAGGAUCCCCGGCAGCCUCAUAUGCAUGCAACCCUUCUUGUACUUCGAAAUUUGCUCAAGGACCCUAGUCUUAGGUUAUUUAUGUCUUCGUCACCCUCUUUUCAGCUACUCGCUUUUUGUGAUUCCGAUUGGGGUACUUGUCCUGAAUCGCGUAAAUCCGAUAGUAGAUUUUACAUUUCACUUGGAGGUUCUCCCGUCUCCUCGAAGUCAAAGAAACAAACUUCCAUCGCCCUAAGCUUUGCUGAAGCUGAGUAUCGCUCAAUGAGGCGUGUAGUUGCAGAGCACACAUGGCUUGUGCUUAUUUUGGAUGACCUUGCCAUUCCAAUUUAUCUCCCCGUUCCUUUGUACUCCGAUAGCCAAGCUGCAAUCCACAUCGCGAAGAACCCCGUGUUUCAUGAGAGAACGAAACAUAUGGAGAUCGACUGUCAUUUUAUUUGUCAGCAGUUUCUUGCAGGUCUGAUCUCUCUAUCCUUUGUUUGCUCCUCUUCUCAGUUGGCAGAUCUCUUCACAAAAUCCCUCACAGGGCCGCUUCACCAUAGACUUUUGGGCAAGUUGGGUAUUCUUGCAUCCCCCUCCAACUUGAGGAAGGGUGUUGGAGACGAAGGAAUUUCUGAUUAUUCGAUGGUGUUUGACAGAGAAGAGGAUUUGAGUUGAAUCUAGGGUUUGGUCAAAUUAAUUUGUCUGUAAAGACCAAAU